UGUCCGUCCGUCCGCGGGGCACCGUGAGGCCGCGCUGCUCCCGGCCGGAGGGGCUCUGCUCGGGAGAGGCUGGAGCUUCCAUGACAGACGAGCAGCCAUUAACCCUUUCGGAGCCCCCACUCCUGGAGUCGCUUUCAGCGGGGAAGGGGAUCCCCACUGGGACCCCACCACGCUUGUGGCCAAAGUGCCAUUGAGCACCCCAGCGUUCAUUCCCCAGGUGAGCCACAGCUCCAACUUUACCGCAGAUUUUACCCCAGCAGAUUUGGCAGAUUUUACCCUCCCUACAGAUUCGGCUCGGUUUGGUUGCCCUCAAUGCCGAGCCCUGGGCACGUCGUGUCACUUGGGAUGAGCAGUGCCCAUCACAGCAGUCACCCAAGGGUCCCCUGCACCAGACACUGCCUGUGCAUAAGACAGGCCCUGCCCUACUCUGAUGAGUAUCUAGAAACCACGGGACAGGGGAGAUGGGAGGGGAAACAGGCAGGAUUAGCCCCAGAUCACAGGUGCCCAUCUCCACCCUCCCAGAACCUGCAGCAGGUGAUGCCCGGCCUCCUCCGAGCUGCUGCUCCCAUCGCCAGCAGGGAGCACGAUUACAAAUCCCACUCAGUGCCCAGCAAGUCCCGUCCUGCUCCACCCAGGACAGACGGGAACAGGAUUUGCAGCUUGUUUACUCUGCAGCUGAGAGCAGCGGACCGCCAGGUUUUGCUGCUGGAUCCUGCUGCAGGAUCGACGGCUGUGAAACCAGCCCUGGCACCAGGACAUCAGCAAGGCUGGCCCAGGUGUGCUGCAGCUGCACCAUCCCCAGCCCAGAGCAGCCCCACAGAGCCCACAUCACAGGCACUCCCCAGGACCAGCAUCAUCCACACCAGAAAAUGUGUAGCUCGGUGCUUCAGAGAGCAAAUGCAGGGCCCAUCCUCUUCUCCUUUGGGGCAAUAAUGGUCCUCACCAUGUAAAGGCCAGGUAAAAGCUGGAAAUACAUUUAAUGGUUAUACAUAAACUGUCCAUUGCAUCAGUAGGGUCCUUAGGGGCCUUGCUCAUGGAAAGGGCACCCAAACUCCAAUACCAGGGAAUAGGGAUGCUGGACAGGACACACAGGUUUUCCCAAGAAGGCCAAGCACCAAACCCAUCCUGCCCCACCUUGUUGCUUCGGAGCCAGAAAAUGGACAGGACUCGUUAUCCUCUUUAGAAAAGCAGAGCUUGCAAUCGUGUGCCAAGACAGGUAUCAGCCAGAUUCCUGUCUCUGGGAGAUUUUGGAGUCCACAGGCCAAACUGAAGCAGCGUGGCUCUUACAGUGCACAGCCCGUCCCAUCUCCAGGAUUAAAGCCACCGUGUCUGCAAACAAAACAUUGGCACCUGCCAGGAGAGCCAGCUGGGGAGGAGAGCCAGCCUGCAGCUGCUGCUGCCCUGCCGGCCGCAGCACGGUGCCCAGCAGCCAGCGCCAGGAUCAGGCCCACGUUUU
rnacentral:lncRNA from 1 species